AAGCAGAUUCAGACUAGAAUAUAGCUGCUGAGUGCUGUGCUGUUGUUUCCCCUGCUAAAAAUAAGGUUUUUUUUUUUUUUUAAAAACUAUACCUGUCUGCUAUACUCCUGAAGUAGCCAAGGGUGCUUGGUCUCAUACAU